rnacentral:rRNA from 1 species
CAUCGCUCUCUGUCUUCAACAAAUAGAGAGUCGAACCUGCCCAGUGAAAUUUUUUAACGGCCGCGGUACUCUGACCGUGCAAAGGUAGCAUAAUCAUUUGCCUUAUAAUUGAAGGCUAGUAUGAAUGGUCUGACGAGAGCAACUCUGUCUCCGCUUUAUUCUUUAGAAUUUGACUUUUAGGUGAAGAGGCCUAAAUUUUAUUGAAGGACAAGAAGACCCUGUCGAGCUUAAAAAACUAGCGGAAACACCUAUACUUUAUGUAAAUACAUAACCGUUAAAUUUUUUUGGUUGGGGCGACCAAGGAACAAAAGAAGCUUCCUCUAUAUAUUAAUUCAAACAUAUUCGUCUUGAUCCAGUAAAGACUGAUUAAAAAAAUUAGUUACCGCAGGGAUAACAGCAUAAUCUCCCUUGAGAGACCAAAUCGAAAGGGGGGGUUGUGACCUCGAUGUUGGACUAGAAUAUCCUAAAGAUGCAGAAGUCUUAAAGG